GGGGAUAUAGCUUAGUGGUAGAGCAUGUGCUUAGCAUGCAUGGGACCUAGGUUCAAUCCCCAGUACCUCCA
rnacentral:tRNA from 1 species